GUGCCAGCAGCCGCGGUAAUACCGGCAGCCCAAGUGAUGGCCGCUGUUAUUGAGCCUAAAGCGUCCGUAGCUGGUCGCGCAAGUUCGUCGGGAAAUCCACUCGCUUAACGAGUGGGCGUCCGGCGAAAACUGUGCGGCUUGGGACCGGAAGAUCCAAGGGGUACGUCCGGGGUAGGAGUGAAAUCCUGUAAUCCUGGACGGACCACCAAUGGCGAAAGCACCUUGGAAGGACGGAUCCGACAGUGAGGGACGAAAGCUAGGGUCUCGAACCGGAUUAGAAACCCGAGUGGUCC
rnacentral:rRNA from 1 species